rnacentral:rRNA from 1 species
AGGGCCUACGGGACGCAGCAGUGAGGAAUAUUGGUCAAUGGCCGGAAGGCUGAACCAGCCAAGCCGCGUGAAGGACGAAGGUGCCAAGCAUUGUAAACUUCUUUUGUCAAGGGACAAAAUCAGGCUCGAGAGCCUGACCGAGGGUACUUGAAGAAAAAGCAUCGGCUAACUCCGUGCCAGCAGCCGCGGUAAUACGGAGGAUGCGAGCGUUAUCCGGAUUUAUUGGGUUUAAAGGGAGCGUAGGUGGAUUGUUA